rnacentral:tRNA from 1 species
GCCGAAGUGGCGGAAUUGGUAGACGCACUGGUUUCAGGUACCAGCAGAGCAAUCUGUGGGGGUUCGAGUCCCUUCUUCGGCA